rnacentral:ncRNA from 1 species
GUCCUAAGGUGACACUCGUUGCCCAUGUGAGCCGUGAGGCUCACAUCGUACUUGGCUGUAUGCUGGAACAUCUGAGUAUCCGGCGGUACUCGGUCUCGCCUUCGGGCGAGGCCAGUGAGAAUCCGUCCGGUGCAGACAAUCAGCAGGGAAGUCGGUGCAGCAGCCGCUGCGCUUGACCCCUCAGAGACUGAACGCCAGGCACCCGCAAUCGCGGGUUGAAGAUACAGUCCGUACCCCACGGCGACGUGGGG